CAAAGAAACUGUUAGCAUAGUGACUGCUGACGUCAUCUAACAGAACCCCCUUCAUUUAACAAUUAGGGGAGCAAAGAUGAAGUCACACCCAUCGUGAAGCUGAGGAGUGUACAGCACACCUAUCGAGGUUUGUUUUGCUUUUUAAGCAUACUAUCCUGUCUUUAUCGUGUCCUAGAAGUGACCCAUGAGAAGCCCGGAAUGGGAACACAGCACCCGGGGACACAGAGAUCCUGAUACGUCUUCCCUUCAAAGAUGGCCAUCCCACAUCCACAUCCGUGGUAGAGGAGUAAAGAUGCAACGUUGACUCGCUAGCCUAAGCCCCUGCAGCUGUGACCUCCUCUACCACCAUGGACCAAUGAACCAUAACCUUGGGUGAUGGUGAGCUGAAGUGAGCCCCCGCCCCAGGCUCUUUUGUUAGGGCAUUCUGUCACAGCGACAGAACAGAAACUAAGACAGUGGCAAACAGUGAGAAAAAUAAAAGUGGAUCAUUUCUCAA